rnacentral:rRNA from 1 species
UACGUAGGGUGCGAGCGUUAAUCGGAAUUACUGGGCGUAAAGCGUGCGCAGGCGGUUUUGUAAGACAGACGUGAAAUCCCCGGGCUUAACCUGGGAACUGCGUUUGUGACUGCAAGGCUAGAGUGUAGCAGAGGGGGGUAGAAUUCCACGUGUAGCAGUGAAAUGCGUAGAUAUGUGGAGGAAUACCGAUGGCGAAGGCAGCCCCCUGGGCUAACACUGACGCUCAUGCACGAAAGCGUGGGGAGCAAACAGG